rnacentral:siRNA from 1 species
CCGAGGGCACGUCUGCCUGGGUGUCACA